UUACAGCUAAUGUAGACGAGCCUUUACAGCUAAUGUAGAUGAGUCUUUAGAGGGUUAAACAAACUAAAAAUGAGGUUAUGUCAACAGCUACGAUCUGUCAUAUUUAGUUGAAUAACCUGUGAAUGCUGAUGUAGAUGAUAAUAUGACUAUUAAUGUAGUUGCUGAUGUAGUUCCACAGAAUACAAAUAACGAUAAAAAAGAUACAAGUAUUGCGUCAAAUUCAGUAUGUUGUGAACACUACUAGAAGAGAUAGAACGACAUCUCUUAUCCCUGGAUGUGGUUAUUUUGUGAAUCACUCAAAAAGUAUUUCACCAAAGAUAUUUGACUCUCUGGAAAAGAAACGUUUGCGGAAGAAACUGCAGGACAUAAGCGAGGUGUAUGAAAAAAAAAUAAAAGUUUUGCAACAAAAAGUUCGACGAAAGGAAUCACGAAUUAUUUCCUUAAAAGCAAUUCUGGACUCAUUGAAGAAUAAAAACUUAAUAACGGGUGAAGAAAAAGAAAUGUUACGAGACGUAGGUGGGUCAAAUUGUAAAAUAUUGGGAAAACAACUACGUAAAAAUAGAGGCAACUUCAUAAAUAAACAAUCAGAUAAUUAACUUAAAUCAUUUACUCUAACAUUGCAUUAUUAAUAUUUUAAUGUAUAUUGAUUUAUAAAUUAAAUAUUUUACUCCAAAUAUACCACACAUGUACAAUUGUUAAUAUAAUAUUUCUUACCUGUACAUUUCGCGCAUUUAUGAUUUAUAACCAGUCAUUGGUUUAUAAGUACUUUAUAGCCAAUCAUCUGUGCGGCACCAAAUGUACUACAUGACCAUUUCCCUUGCCCUGCGCAAUGGUUUCAUCCCACUUACCCAUAGUUCAGGUUCAGGUUCAAGCAGUGAAAUAUAUACUAUACUGGAACGAGAACGGCCCUCUAGAAGAAAACGGGACGAGAGAGAUAGAAAAUUGUAACCAGUCCGUCUUUUUCUAUCACUGUACUUUUCGAGCUGAAAACAUUCGCUGUAUUCAGUACACAAAUGUUAUUAAAUGUGGCAAAAUUGGAAAUAGGAAAAGCAGGCAAUAAAAAUGGGCAAAAAAUAUUGCUAAGUAACGAGAAAGCACGCACAAAAUGGCUUACUAUAAUUUCUUCAUAUAUACCACAAAUAGAUAUAUCAAAAGAAGUAUUUAUUUGUGGUGCAUAUUUUACUGAUGACAAUUUUCAACCAGCAUCAAUGGAAUUAAUGAAAAGAAUGUUAAAAAGAACUGCUGUUCCUACUAUUUUUAAGAAUUAUAACAUUUUGAUCACAAAAAGGAUCGUGAAGAACAUAAAAAUAGAAUAUUGAAAGAUUUGAAUGUUACAUAUAAUUAAAACAUAAAUUUUAGUACAUGUUCUGAACAGAAAA